ensembl:lncRNA
CUUUUGUGGAUUAUCUCGGCUGCAAGCAGUUAGCUAAUAUGCUUUACUUUUAACUCGGUUAUGUCUCCGUAGGAAUUGCAACAUGUCUUAGAACAAAUACACCUCUGCAGAGGUAUAAAUAGCUUAGAUCUGCACCUACCAUAUACUAGGGCAAGUUCACAGAAGUUCAUGCUAAAUGGUUUUGUAUCAGAUGAUGAUCUGGUCAUAAGCCUCUGAGGAAGUCACUCCUAUUCAAUCAAGGAAUGGGAGGGUUAUUCAGCUCUGAGGCAGAAAUCCAGGUAUAUCACGGAUGAGUCAUGACAUCUUGUGAUGGUAGAAGAACCUAGUCAUGGGAAAUUCAGGCUCGGAACACCAAGUCAGCAAGGUGCUACUUGCCAUGAAAGAUUGCUGUUGCUUUUCUUCACUUUGCACUCAAAGUGCUACAGGAAAUCUCAAAGGAAAAAGGGGAAACUUCACUGGAUAGAUCUCCGCACUACAUACUUAAUAAGACACACUGUCUCUCAUACAUAUAAUUGAUGGUUCAAACAACUAUCCCGACAUUUCAGUACUGUCCUGUAGUUGCCAAGAAGCCUUUUUGUAAAUAUUUGCUUUUACAAAAAGGAUGUAGCCAAAUCACUUUUCAAGUUUCCAUGACUGCUGUUGUGUUU